AGGAGAGCAGCGUUUAUCUUAUGAGGUGUAGACAGAAGAGAACAAAGAUUGGUAUGGACAUAGUACCAAGUAUCUGAGAGACCGAAAUGGAUUCUGCCCUCCUCUGGGUUUUGAAUUUGUUAAAUUAAAAAAAAAAAAAAAAAAAAAAAGGAAAACAAAGCUUUUAUUAAAUCCAGUUCUGUGUGUGUGACUUAAAGUAUUCUUGACAGGUUUCUAAAAAGACAUGUGAAUAUAGUCAGUGGUUUCUCUUUAAAGUCUAGUAUUUCUCCUUCCAUUGAAUUGCUUAUAAAUUCUAUUAGAAGGAUUGGGGGGUAAAAGGAGUUCUUUUACUCUUAAAAGCAGAAAAUCUCCAUAUGUUUAAAUAAGUAAAUCAAGUUUAUUUUCAGCAGUGCAAUACCAUACCUACAAUUUUUACCCUAAUAAUUUGAAGCUUGGGUUUCCAGAAUUCUGAUCGUCAGGGCUAUGUCUGGCUUUACCUAUAAGCCAUAUUAUCACACCAACUAAAAUUAUGUGAAAUUCCCGUGGAGUAAGAGUCUGAAGAUUAUUUUUCUCUGGGUUAGAUUACUUAUUGCUGGUAAGAGACCUAUCGUUAUUAGGUAUCAUCAAAAGAACCAGUGGUAUAUGGAGCCAGCUCAUCCUGACCAUGAGGGUUAAUUGUGCGCAUCUCUGUCCAGCUCUGUGAUCAGUAAUGUCGGGUUGGUACCUUGAAGCUGGCAUGGUGGGAGUGGGAAAUCAGCAAAUGCUACAAAAUCCUCCCCCCUCUAGGAACCUUGAUGUUAAAUAUUACCAGCAAGCCACUAGAUAUUAUUCAAAUUACAUUCUAUCAUCACAACUUAAGGAUGGUGCCGUUGAUACCAGGAGCUCUCUAUAUAUCCGGUACAUGUUUGGCAGUGAUUUGCACUUAAAAUUUUUUUGUAAUAAAUUCUUUUGUCUUCGUUUUUUUCUUUUCAGGGCCAUACCCACAGCAUUUGGAACCCUAGCCUGGAAACCUCCAUAUGCUGAGAGUGUGGCCCUAAAAAGAAAAAAAAAAAAAAAAUACAAAGAAUAAUAAUUUAAGAUAAUAAUAUCAUAUAAUAAUAAUAUUCUGGUUUCCAAAGUAUUAGCUAGUUGAUCAUUUUGAGUAAGUCUUAAAUGUUUCCAGUUAAUUUGAAGGAUUAUAAAAAUAUUUUUUGCCAUGCAAUUAUAUUACUUUCUCACUUGCGAUAGAUUUCAUUCAUUCACUCAACAAAUAUUUAUUAGAAACUACCGUAUUCCAGGACUGUGCUCCUGGGUAAAUAUUAAUAUGAUAGUCAACAAAGCAGACCCUUCCUCUGCUCUCAUGGUAGAUUGAAAGGACCCUGUGAAAUGAGGGUACAAAUAUGUUUUUGAUUGCACACGUUGAGAUGAGAAUCAUAAGGGCAAAGGACACUGUGCUGUGAAACUGUGGAAGAAAGGAACGCCUUGGGGAGUGAAGGCAGGCUUUUCGGAGGAAAUCGUGUUUGAGCUCAGAGCAAGGUGUUGGCUGGGUGAUAAGGAGGGAGGACAUUCCAGAAGAACCAGCAUGUACAAAUACCCUGAGUGAAGAAACUGCUUGUAUAAAGAAAGUAACAGCAAUACAUUACAACCCAAUUUACUGUCAAUAUUUAGAGCCCAGUAAAUCUCAUGUCUUUGAGUAAAUUGUUAAUCACUGAGAAGCACGUAGCUUUUAGGCCACCUAUGUGGCCCCAGAGACUAAAGAUCUGUGCCACCUUUUCCUUCUUAGGGGAGACCAGUGAAAGAAAAUCUUUCAAAACUGUUUAUUUUAGUUAGGAGCAAAGACACUCCUCUGCAUUAGAGGAUAUUUAAAUUACGCAAUCCCCUGGAUACUUUAAGCAUCAACUUACUAUUAAGGGGGAAAAGGAUCAAAAUUAUUGACUCAAAAUUCCCCUGGUGUUCAUUCCGCUUCUAUAUUCCUUGGCCUGUGAAAAUAGCCCAAGGGCUAUGCCCUCUUAUCUCUCUCCAUCUCAAUUCCUCUCUCUUUGGGGUUGGAAAUAAGCUUACAGCUUGACAUGCCUACAGAAUAAAAGGUCUU
rnacentral:lncRNA from 1 species